GUAGAAAUAAAGACUGAUGGAGAAGGGAGGAGAUUAGAGCUGUGUGUUGUAUUUAGAGGAGGGACUCCAUCAUUUAAAAAGACAGAAGUUCCUGGUUUACCAGUGAGGAAGGAAGAGAGGCAGCAGUAAACCAUCAGAGCGUCAGCAUGAAAGUCCAUCACACUUUGAUCUGUUUCUUCUUCCUCUCACUGUGUGGGGGAGACUCCGGGCUCGUCAGUGCAACCACGUUUGCAGGAGCUGUAGGAGGAACUGGUGGAAUUAGUUGCUUCUUGUCUCUGUCUGGAAGCAACAAGUUCUUCUGUAAGGAACAAUGUAAAGCAGAAGAUAUUCUCAUUAAAACAGAUGGCCUCACAGCUCAGAGUGGCAGAUACAGCACUGCAUUCAGAAACACUUCUUCUGAAAGAGGAAUUCUCACUGUGACCAUCACAAAUCUGACCAAGUCCGACUCAGCAUGGUACAGGUGUGGUUUGGGACCAACCGUUGUUCCAUAUUCAUAUGCUGACUUUGAGAUCAGAGUUUUAGAUGCAACGUUGGAUGGAAUCUCUGGUUUUGUCCAUGCAGAUACUGAAGGAGAAACUAUUGUUUAUGGAUGCCACGGUACUGUUUACGGAAAGCAGAAGUUCUUGUGUAAGGGCGAUUGUAAAACAGAAGAGGACAUUCUCAUUGAAACAGAGGAGAACAGAGCUCAGAAUGGCAGACACAGCAUUCAAUAUAUAAACGGAUCUGUAUUUGGACUGUAUGUGAUCAUCACACAGGUGACCAAGUCAGACACAGGAUGGUACAAGUGUGGUUACGGCAGAGCUUUGUCUCCAGAUUCAUACAGGAUGUACCCGGUCCUUGUCAUUGAUGGACUCUUUGACCUUCAAACAUCAUCGCCAUCAGCCUCCACACCAACAACAACAUCAACAACAACACCAACAACGACAACAAAGUCGACAGCCCUCUCCUCUGUCUCUCACCCAGGUCUCCUCUUGGCUCUGGUUGUAUGCAUGCCCUUGCUUUGUGUUCUGUUGGCUGCUUUGCUGCUGCUCCUCUACAAAUGGAAGACAAGCAGGAACUUUGGUUUGAACACCAAAGGAAAUGCAGACGGCAUGCACGUGGAGUCUUCCGUCAACUAUGUGAAAUAUGCUGACGACAACACACGUUAGAACAACCCUGAAUCCAGGACCACACCUACUGAAUCCAGAUUGUGCAGCUUAUAGCUUAUAAAGUGUUGCAAGGUCAUUUUUCCGAGGGUGUUCACCACUCACUUGAUUAUUUUGAAAUGUCCAAUUUGUCUUUUGUUUUAUUCUUCUUUUAAACUUUGAGCAAUGCAUAGGGAAAUUAGUGCUAUCCAGCGUUUACCAGUUGUUCAAUAAGUCAUGCCAGGUUGCAUUCAGGAUUACAGCUAAAUGCUGCUUCGUGGUUAGUUUGGGCCCGUCUAUAGAUCCAAGAGCCCUACUCAGUUUGAAUUCUUUAAGCAUAUUAGAGACGUAUGUUGUGCACAAACUAUUCAGUUUAUAGACUAGAUGCAGCACUUGAGCAGACAUGAAUCCAGGGAAGUGUACAGUUUUCUACUUUUCUCUUUACUUUCUAUUUAAUGGUACUUUUUAAACAAUGUCUAGGGAAUGGGGAAGAACCUGUGCAGUUAUCACCUGCUCCAGUAGCAGUGAAAAACUGACUGUGAAACACACAAGCAUUUAUGUGCUGAAGAGAAUGUUCACAUGCCAGGCAAUUAAUUAAUUAAUGGUGAAUACAAAAAACAUGAAAACAUCUCUAACUCUUUCUCUCCUACUUCCCUGUCUAUUUUCACCUGUCCAAUGAAAAUAAAGGCAUAAAAAAAAACAAAAUAUCUUUAAAAAAAUAUUUUUACAAUCUUUUAUAUUACAAUAAUUUCAAGUUGUGUUCCUAAUCAUUACGUCUGUGGUUAUAAUUAUGAUAGUUUGGAUAUUCCUUGCAUCAAACCUUUAAAUAUUGCAGCAAAGCAUACAUAUACUGUACGACUAACAUAGGUUAAAAGUGUGAAUAUGAUUAAGCAUUUGGAAUAAAUCUGGCACAGUUCACCAAACUCAUUUCUCUGAUGUCAUGUCUUCCAUUGCACCAUACACACAGAGCUGGUGUGAUCCCACCACAAGAUGGUCUCUUAUCAUUUAUCAGUUGUUUUUGUUGAAGGUCCAGUCUGUAACAUUUAGGAGAAAUGGAGAAAUGGAAAAUAAUGAAAUGUAAUCGUUGUGUUUUCGUUACCUUAGAAUGAGUCAAUAAAUACAGAGGAAGCAGCUCCUCUUCUAUAAACUCCGCGUCUGCAUCUGGACAUAGUUACUGUAUGUGAAGGGGUCGGCGUGACUCUGAAUAUAUCUUAUAGCCAUUCCUGACUCCAGUAGCACACCAGCAGAUAUGCAGUAAUAUCUGUUAUCUGUCGUCCAAAAUGUACUUUUAGUAUUGUUGGAAUUGUUUUCAAUGUAUUUGUUACAUAAACACAGACAAUGCAGGACGAGACACAAAACACACACCAGAGCGUGAACCUCAUAGUAAAUCCCUUUCAAAUAUCAGAUGGAGGACACAAGUGCCUCCAGUAUUCACAGCAUAGAUUGGUAAACCUCCACAGGCCCAGCAGGUGGGA
rnacentral:lncRNA from 1 species